rnacentral:rRNA from 1 species
UCGAUGAAGAACGCAGCG